UUUUAGAUUAUAAUUUAAAGUAGGGCCUGCCCACUGAAAAUUUUUAAAGGGCCGCAGUAUUUUGACUGUGCAAAGGUAGCAUAAUCAUUAGUUUUUUAAUUGAAAGCUUGUAUGAAUGGUUUGAUGAAAAAAUUACUUUCUUUAUUUAAUAUAGUAAGAAUUUUAUUUUUAAGUUAAAAAGCUUAAAUAUUAAUAAAAGACGAGAAGACCCUAUAGAGUUUUAUUUUUUUUAUAAUUUUUAUUUUUGGAAUUAAAAAAUUUUAAUUAUUAAAAAAAUUUGAUUGGGGUGAUUAAAAAAUUAAAUAAACUUUUUUUUUAUUUUUACAUAAAUUAAUGAAUUUUUGAUCCAUUUAAAUGAUUAAAAGAAUAAAUUACCUUAGGGAUAACAGCGUUAUUUUUUUUUAGAGUUCAAAUCGAAAAAAAAGAUUGCGACCUCGAUGUUGGAUUAAAAUUUAUUUUAGGUGUAGAGGCUUAAAUAUUUGGUC
rnacentral:rRNA from 1 species